CAUAAGACAUAGUGGAAACUCCAAGAGAAAACGAACACCAGAAUAAAUUUUAAGCUAAUGUCUUCACAUGUGCAAGUAGAUAACCUUUUGUUGAAAAUGCAGUACGGAUGAAAUGGACUAUGUUGCUCAUUUCGAUUUUAUUGUAUAGAUCAUGCCAAAAAGAAAGAAGGGAUAGCCUUAACAUACCUGGAGUAAGGAAGAAUCCGUAUGAUAUUCUUGGAAAAGGUUGCGUUUUUUUGGUAGCUUCAGAGAGUCUCUUGGAGAGCUCAUUUCUUUAUCCUCAAACGUUAGAUAAAAUGAAUCUUUUAACUUGCUAAAGCUUAUAAAUCCUUUCUUGAA